UGGGGGAUUUUGCACAAUGGGCGCAAGCCUGAUGCAGCGACGCCGCGUGAGGGAUGAAGGCCUUCGGGUUGUAAACCUCUUUCGCUGGGUUGAAAGGCCAUGCUUUGGGUGUGGUUGAUUUGAACUGGUAAAGAAGUACCGGCUAACUACGUGCCAGCAGCCGCGGUAAUACGUAGGGUACUUGCGUUGUCCGGAUUUAUUGGGCGUAAAGGGCUUGUAGGUGGUUUGUCGCGUCUGUCGUGAAAUCCUGUGGCUUAACCAUGGGCUUGCGGUGGGUACGGGCAGGCUUGAGUGCGGUAGGGGAGACUGGAAUUCCUGGUGUAGCGGUGGAAUGCGCAGAUAUCAGGAGGAACACCGGUGGCGAAGGCGGGUCUCUGGGCCGUUACUGACACUGAGGAGCGAAAGCGUGGGGAGCGAACAGG
rnacentral:rRNA from 1 species